UAAAAGAAACCUAAUCAGAAAAAUAGAGACGACGGCUUGAGGAGCGAAAAAACCCUAAUAAUUCAGCGGCCAAAAACUGUUCAAUAACAAAAGGGAAAGGUCAGCAAGAGUUUUGAAAAAAAGCUUCACAAAAAGCCAUUAGCAUUGGCGAACUCAGAGAAAGAAGACGGUGGUACUACUGGUGGCCCUGUUUUCGAAAUCCACUCCCAAAGCUCGAAGAAUCAAGAAGUGUAGGAGAUCGUAUACCUGUUCAUUCGUCUCCAAAAUACCCCGAUCCGGUAGAUUUCUCGCUUCUUCUUGUUCUUUGGUAUCCGGCGCCAACCUCUGUUUUCUUUAGGGUUCGUGAUUAUGAUAAUAUUGUUGAACUUUAUUUCUUCUUGUUUUUGAGUGUUUGUAUUGUGUUAGGAGAGAUAGAUUUUUUUAUACUUUGAGGAUUAGGCUCUGAGUUGAGAUGAGGGAGGGUGAGUUAGAGAAGACGUUUCUCAUUCAGUUUCUGUUUUUUCCUUUCCUUUAGAGCGAAUCUCAGCAGGUCAAAGGUGACCGUCCUUUCCCACUUCCCAAAAGGUUUUAAAUGCUUUCUUCGUUUCCCCAAGAGCUUUAAUGGCUCU
rnacentral:lncRNA from 1 species